GUGAAUCUGCUCUGUUUUGUGUUUUUUCCGCUGCAUUUGUGAUUCUGUGAAGGCAUCUUAGUGUUUGGUCUCGGUGUUUAGCUUUGUUGUGUCCUGCUGUGAUAGAUUGGUAUGGCGUCUUUCUUUGGUAUGGCUCCUUUUGAUGGAAAAUCCGAUUUUAGUAUCUGGAAGUAGAAGAUGAAGUGCAUUUUAAUUCAGCAACAUGUGUUUAAGGCUGUUGAUCAUUCAUAUGCUGAUAAUGAGACUGAAGA
rnacentral:lncRNA from 1 species